rnacentral:rRNA from 1 species
GGACAACCGCUGGAAACGGCGGCUAAUACCGGGUACUCCGGGAGGGCCCCAUGGCCCUGCCGGGAAAGCCGAGACGGCGCGGGAUGGGGUCGCGGCCCAUUAGGUAGACGGCGGGGUAACGGCCCACCGUGCCCGCGAUGGGUAGCCGGACUGAGAGGUCGACCGGCCACAUUGGGACUGAGAUACGGCCCAGACUCCUACGGGAGGCAGCAGUGGGGAAUUUUGCGCAAUGGGGGAAACCCUGACGCAGCAACGCCGCGUGCGGGACGAAGGCCCUCGGGUUGUAAACCGCUUUCAGCAGGGAAGAUCCAAGACGGUACCUGCAGAAGAAGCUCCGGCUAACUACGUGCCAGCAGCCGCGGUAAUACGUAGGGGGCGAGCGUUAUCCGGAUUCAUUGGGCGUAAAGCGCGCGUAGGCGGCCGCCUAAGCGGGACCUCUAACCCCGGGGCUCAACCCCGGGCCGGGUCCCGGACUGGGCGGCUCGAGUGCGGUAGAGGAGAGCGGAAUUCCCGGUGUAGCGGUGGAAUGCGCAGAUAUCGGGAAGAACACCGAUGGCGAAGGCAGCUCUCUGGGCCGUCACUGACGCUGAGGCGCGAAAGCUGGGGGAGCGAACAGGAUUAGAUACCCUGGUAGUCCCAGCCGUAAACGAUGGGCGCUAGGUG